GUGCCAGCAGCCGCGGUAAUACGGAGGAUGCAAGCGUUAUCCGGAAUGAUUGGGCGUAAAGCGUCCGCAGGUGGUGAUGAAAGUCUGCUGUCAAAGAAUCAGGCUUAACCUGAUCAAGGCAGUGGAAACUACAUGACUAGAGUGCGUUCGGGGCAGAAGGAAUUCCUGGUGUAGCGGUGAAAUGCGUAGAUAUCAGGAAGAACACCGGUGGCGGAAGCGUUCUGCUAGGCCGUAACUGACACUGAGGGACGAAAGCUAGGGGAGCGAAUGGGAUUAGAAACCCUCGUAGUCC
rnacentral:rRNA from 1 species